UCGCCCCUACGGAGGCAGCAGUGGGGGAUAUUGCACAAUGGGGGGAACCCUGAUGCAGCGACGCCGCGUGGGCGAUGGAGCGCCUCGGCGCGUAAAGCCCUAUCAGCAGGGAAGAAGAUGACGGUACCUGACUAAGAAGCCCCGGCUAAAUACGUGCCAGCAGCCGCGGUAAUACGUAUGGGGCAAGCGUUAUCCGGAUUUACUGGGUGUAAAGGGAGCGCAGGCGGCCUGGCGAGCCUGAUGUGAAAUACCGGGGCCCAACCCCGGGGCUGCAUUGGGAACUGCCAGGCUGGAGUGCCGGAGAG
rnacentral:rRNA from 1 species